UUUCCGUUUAAACAGCUUUAUGCGCGUCUGUCUUCUGAGUCCGGAAGAAACCUGAGUUGAGAAGGGCCCUCCUCCUAGUCUUCCUCAGCCGGCUGACACCUGCCUGCCGCGACCUCCGCGCUCCUGGCCGGCCCCUGCCCUCCCUUGGGACAGCUGCCGCACUCCGCCUCCCUGAAGGAAGCAGAUGUCCCUGGGGCCACCCGGGCCCUUGGAGUGGAGCCCUCCCGACAGACAGCCAGGAACUCAGCCUCAGCACCACCUGCUAACGGCUCAGGGAUGGUGAAACAAGUAUGGACCAAGAAAAUAAACCUACUCACUUCGAUUUGCUUUGAAGAGUUACACUUCAUUCAUUGUGAGCUGAGGUCAUCAACCUAAAAGAAGAGGAAAGUUUCGAUUCAGUAUUGGAGGUCUCACCCCACAGUCCGCAGUCAUCUCUCUUGGCCCACAAGAAGCCAGCACAUCCUUGACAUCGCAAAGCUGUUCCUCAGGGAAGUGAAGACAGAGGAAGCAGAGGGCCAGUGCCCGAGUCCCCUUCAAGAGCAUGCGCCCAGUGACUACAAAUCCUCCCCAACCCCGCCACAAUGGGGACACAGCCUUUAACCCACAGGCCUUUGGGGACAAUUAAAAGCCAAACUGUAGCAUCUCCUUUGUUUUUGGAAUU